rnacentral:rRNA from 1 species
GAUGAACGCUGGCGGCAUGCCUAACACAUGCAAGUCGAUCGGUAAGGCUCUUCGGAGUACACGAGAGGCGGACGGCUGAGUAACGCGUAGGAACACACCCUGCAGUGAGGGAUAAGACACCGAAAGGUGUUCUAAUACCGCAUACGGUCUUCGGAUUAAAGCAUUUAUGCGCUGAAGGAGUGGCCUGCGUCAUAUUAGAUAGUUGGUGAGGUAAUGGCUCACCAAGUCGAUGAUGUGUAGCUGGUCUGAGAGGAUGAUCAGCCAGACUGGAACUGAGACACGGUCCAGACUCCUACGGGAGGCAGCAGUGAGGAAUAUUUCACAAUGAGCGAAAGCGUGAUGGAGCAAUGCCGCGUGCAGGAUGAAGGCCCUCGGGUUGUAAACUGCUUUUAUAAGAGAAGAUUAUGACGGUAACUUAUGAAUAAGGGACGGCUAACUACGUG